rnacentral:rRNA from 1 species
UACGAAGGGGACUGGCGUUGUUCGGAAUUACUGGGCGUAAAGCGCACGUAGGCGGACUUGUAAGUCAGGGGUGAAAUCCCGGGGCUCAACCUCGGAACUGCCUUUGAUACUGCGAGUCUCGAGUCCGAUAGAGGUGGGUGGAAUUCCUAGUGUAGAGGUGAAAUUCGUAGAUAUUAGGAAGAACACCAGUGGCGAAGGCGGCUCACUGGUCCGGUACUGACGCUGAGGUGCGAAAGCGUGGGGAGCAAACAGG